UACGUAGGGUGCAAGCGUUUAAUCGGAAUUACUGGGCGUAAAGCGUGCGCAGGCGGUUUUGUAAGUCAGAUGUGAAAUCCCCGGGCUUAACCUGGGAACUGCGUUUGAAACUACAAGGCUAGAGUGUGGCAGAGGGGGGUGGAAUUCCACGUGUAGCAGUGAAAUGCGUAGAGAUGUGGAGGAACACCGAUGGCGGAAGGCAGCCCCCUGGGGUUAACACUGACGCUCAGGCACGAAAGCGUGGGGAGCAAACAGG
rnacentral:rRNA from 1 species